UACGGAGGGUGCAAACGUUAAUCGGAAUUACUGGGCGUAAAGCGCGCGUAGGUGGUUUAUUAAGUGGGAUGUGAAAGCCCCGGGCUCAACCUGGGAAUUGCAUUCCAAACUGAUGAACUAGAGUACGAUAGAGGGGGGUAGAAUUCAGAGUGUAGCGGUGAAAUGCGUAGAUAUUCUGAGGAAUACCAGUGGCGAAGGCGGCCCCCUGGAUUGAUACUGACACUGAGGUGCGAAAGCGUGGGGAGCAAACAGG
rnacentral:rRNA from 1 species